rnacentral:rRNA from 1 species
CCUACGGGUGGCAGCAGUGAGGAAUAUUGGUCAAUGGACGGAAGUCUGAACCAGCCAUGCCGCGUGCAGGAAGACGGCUCUAUGAGUUGUAAAAUGCUUUUGUACAAGGGUAAACCUGAAUACGUGUAUUCAGCUGAAAGUACUGUACGAAUAAGGAUCGGCUAACUCCUUGCAAGCAGCCGCGGUAAGACGGAGGAUCCAAGCGUUAUCCGGAUUUAUUGGGGUAAAAGGGUGCGUAGGCGGAUUGAUAAGUUAGAGGUGAACUGUCCGAGCUUAACUCGGGAACUGCCUCUAAUACUGUUGAUCUAGAGAGUAGAUGCGGUAGGCGGAAUGGAUGGGGUAGCGGUGAAAUGCUGAGAGAUCAUACAGAACAACGAUUGCGAAGGCAGCUUACCAAUCUAUAUCUGACGUUGAGGCACGAAAGCGUGGGGAGCAAACAGGAUUAGAUACCCGUGUAGUC